GCUUUCUAUCCUUCAUUCCACCGGAGUCUGUAUGUCUUUGACCAGUCAGAUUUCAGUGGUGUGAAGAAUAUGAGGCA
rnacentral:pre_miRNA from 1 species